ACAACAAGAACUCAUCAUUCCUAUAACAUAUUCUACACAUAUGACGAUAGGCCGAAACUAUUUCUGGACUUACACAAUAUAAGUCUUCUUGAGUCCUUUCCUGCCACGCCGCCUCUUCAGAUUGGAUGCAUCAGUCAUGCGAUUCAUAGCGUUGAGAAUUUCCUCAUCCUCGUUGUUCCACAGUAUUCUCGAUUUAUCAGGGUUUUCUAACAGCUGCUUGGCCACGAGAAAACCGGCAAUGGUCCAUGUCUGAAAAAGCCGAGACUGCUUCCCGAUGAAUCGUGCACGUUUGGUAUCGUAGUAUUCAGGCCAUUUAUCAUUGGCAAUACGUCGCUCAGCAACCUCCACAGCUUUUGCUGCAAUCUCUGACCGGUCCACCUUGAUACAUGCUACUUACCUGCCACAAUAGUGUUGGCCAGGAACCUCCAUUAUGGUAAGACCAAGCCCUGUUUUUAGGGUCGCUCCCUGUAAUGAAUUUCCACUCCUGAUCCUCAAGAGCAGGAUAGCAUAUCUUCAUUGGCAUAUCCGCCACUAAAUCAGACCAUUUGGCUUCAACCAGAUCCAAAAUAGCAUCAGACUGGUGGGAUGUUGCCAAACUACUUACUAUUGACCACAAGUUCCCAAGAGAAAAGAACCGAAAAUCCAUAUGAGCUGGCUGCAGGUUUCCAAUGAAGUAACCCCCUUUAGGAGGGAUCCAUUCAACCAGCCAGGGAGGAAUCUGAUCUGGAUAUAUGUUAAACUUGUUGACAGCGUCAUAAGAAUACUCCUCUGUUUUGUAUCGAUAUAUCUCAUUUAGCUUUCUCUUGUCAAGCCAAUAAUACUCUCUGAUAUGAAAAGAGAGUGCAAUAAGCCUGCUAUUUAGGGCACGAAUCAAGUCAGCUGAUCCAUCUUCUGGGGUAAGCAUCUCACGUGCACACAAGAGAGCUGAAUAGAAAAGUGCCUGAAUUUCCAAUGGGUGUCCAUGGAUUCCCAUUCGACGAUCUAUCAUGCAUGAGCCAUCAGUAACAAGCAAGGUGGGAAACAUGUCGAAGCCAUCAGCUAAGCAGAGCUUCAAGAUCAUCUUUAUUCCAGUCUGGACAUCAAUUCUCUCCUGAACCGACAGAUCGCCUGAACAUUUUCCGUAUGCUCUCAGCAAUAUGAUCCACCAUAAACCUGAAAACCAUUAAUCAACUGGUGCCACACGUCCUAUUGCAGCCUCCCCGAAAUCAGGAUCCAGGACUUCCUCAGUUACAUCAUCGUCCCCGUCAAGUGGAACAACACGCACCUUGAAACUUGCUGGCAUCAACCCUUGACCUGGACUGUGGCAGUCCAUCGUUUUCUCCCAGCUCUGCAGAUCUGGAGGGUGUGCAGGAUGAAGUUGCGGACGAUCUCGUAGUCCCCCUUGAGCAGGAAGGCGAUGCCCGAGGGCACGAAGUCCCGGAUGAACACCUGGUCGUAGUUGAGCGGGCUGGCGUCGUUGGGGUCGCACGCGGCGAUCGUGCCCACGGGGCUGCCGCAGUAGCGCACCACCGACUCCCGGAGCAGCCCCCACGCCUCGUCCUCCACGUCAUGAGGCCCGCGCCUCUGCCUCCUCUGCGGCGCCUUCGCCGGCGCC
rnacentral:sRNA from 1 species